AAGUGAGUCAUUAGUUCAUUACUCGAAACGGAGCCAAACGUGCAAGUGAAAUUCUCCAUGUGCAAAAACUUACAUUACUAAUUUUCCUGGCAUUUGAACAUUGAACUUGUGAAACAAAUAGGCCAUUGCUUCCCUGACAAUUCCGACAUUUUUUUCGAAACUUUUGUGCAAGAUUUGAUUUGUCUUCUUUUCGGGAACGGCUUGACGACCACCGCUUGGCUGAGACACAUUUACAACCGCGUGGGUGCUUCUUCAUGGCCGUUUUCUUCCAUCCGUUGAGCUGUUGGCCAAAUUGAAAAACAUUCCCGAGGAAGGUGGCAGCCAUUUGUAAUGAUGGCUUAUCUCGACACGACCACACUAGAAAAGGGAUUAAACUGCAAGUCGUCGGUUGGUUGGCCUGUCUACGUGCGUCACGCCUACAAAAGCAGCUGACAAGAACGGCGAGAGAACCGGAGGUUUGCCAAAUGCGAGAAGAGAGGCGGAAGUCAAAUAUUGACCCCAGACACAAAAAAAACCUUCUUCUUUUUCCCUUAAAAAGAAGGAUGCAACUAAAGGACGGACUUGUGUCAUGCUUGGCGCCUCAACCACUCUACUCCACCCGGAAUGCAAAUUCCGGCGGCUCGUGUGGAUCUCGACUUCGGAUCGCUCAACAUGACGGGCCAAAGAUCUAGAUGCAAGGGGGCCCUUUGAACCCACUCACGGAGCAAGUGUUCAGCAAUCCAGCAAGAUAACUCCUCUGACAUGAGAGCUUCCGGUCCGCAUAGAUGCCUGGCUAGUUUCGCGACCUUUGGCAGCUGGCCCGACGACCAGAAAGUCACCCGAGUAACUGAGCACCAAUCCGCGACUGACCCAAACGAUUUAUUUCCCUUUAUCGCCUUUAGCUUGCAUUAUUCAUUCAAGUAAAUCGUUUCACGUUUAACCUGUAAA